AGCGAACGCUGGCGGCAGGCUUAACACAUGCAAGUCGAACGCAUCCUUCGGGGUGAGUGGCAGACGGGUGAGUAACACGUGGGAACGUGCCCUCCGGUUCGGGAUAACUCAGGGAAACGUGAGCUAAUACCGGAUACGUGCCGAGAUAGGGAUAUCUGGGCAGAAAGGUUUACUGCCGGAGGAUCGGCCCGCGUCUGAUUAGCUAGUUGGUGGGGUAACGGCCUACCAAGGCGACGAUCAGUAGCUGGUCUGAGAGGAUGAUCAGCCACACUGGGACUGAGACACGGCCCCGGCGCCUACGGGAGGCAGCAGUGGGGAAUAUUGGACAAUGGGCGCAAGCCUGAUCAGCCAUGCCGCGUGGGUAAUGACGGCCUUAGGGUUGUAAAGCUCUUUUCUCCGGGACGAUAAUGACGGUACCGGAGGAAUAAGCCCCGGCUAACUUCGUGCCAGCCGCCGCCGUAACAC
rnacentral:rRNA from 1 species